rnacentral:rRNA from 1 species
UUAAUGAGAGUUUGAUCCUGGCUCAGGACGAACGCUGGCGGCGUGCCUAAUACAUGCAAGUAGAACGCUGAGGUUUGGUGUUUACACUAGACUGAUGAGUUGCGAACGGGUGAGUAACGCGUAGGUAACCUGCCUCAUAGCGGGGGAUAACUAUUGGAAACGAUAGCUAAUACCGCAUAAGAGUAAUUAACACAUGUUAGUUAUUUAAAAGGAGCAAUUGCUUCACUGUGAGAUGGACCUGCGUUGUAUUAGCUAGUUGGUGAGGUAAAGGCUCACCAAGGCGACGAUACAUAGCCGACCUGAGAGGGUGAUCGGCCACACUGGGACUGAGACACGGCCCAGACUCCUACGGGAGGCAGCAGUAGGGAAUCUUCGGCAAUGGACGGAAGUCUGACCGAGCAACGCCGCGUGAGUGAAGAAGGUUUUCGGAU